GACAGAGGCCACGAACGUUGUUCGGAAUCACUGGGCAUAAAGCGCACGUAGGCGGCUGGGUCCGUCCGAUGUGAAAGCCCCCGGCUCAACCGGGGAAUUGCAUCGGAUACAGCCCGGCUUGAGGACGGUUGGGGUGAGUGGAACUCCUGGUGGAGCGGUGAAAUGCGUAGAUAUCGGGAGGAACACCAGUGGCGAAGGCGACUACCUGGCCUGUUCUUGACGCUGAGGCGCGAAAGCUAGGGGAGCAAACGGG
rnacentral:rRNA from 1 species